rnacentral:rRNA from 1 species
ACGGAGGGUGCAAGCGUUAAUCGGAAUUAAUGGGCGUAAAGCGCACGCAGGAGGUUUGUUAAGUCAGAUGUGAAAUCGCCGGGCUCAAACUGGGAAAGGCAUCUGAUACUGGCAAGCUUGAGUCUCGAAGAGGGGGUUAGAAUUCCAGGUGUAGCGGUGAUAUGCGUAGAGAUCUUGAGGAAUAUCGUUGGCGCAGGCAGCCUCCUACGCGAAGACUCACGAUCAAGUGCACAAGCGUUAGGAACAAACAU